AUUAAACGCUGGCGGCAUGCCUUACACAUGCAAGUCGAACGGCAGCACGGGGGGAACCCUGGUGGCGAGUGGCGAACGGGUGAGUAAAGCAUCGGAACGUGCCCUGGAGUGGGGGAUAACGUAGCGAAAGUUACGCUAAUACCGCAUAUUCUGUGAGCAGGAAAGCAGGGGAUCGCAAGACCUUGCGCUCUGGGAGCGGCCGAUGUCGGAUUAGCUAGUUGGUGGGUAAAGGCCUACCAAGGCGACGAUCCGUAGCGGGUCUGAGAGGAUGAUCCGCCACACUGGGACUGAGACACGGCCCAGACUCCUACGGGAGGCAGCAGUGGGGAAUUUUGGACAAUGGGCGAAAGCCUGAUCCAGCCAUGCCGCGUGAGUGAAGAGGGCCUUC
rnacentral:rRNA from 1 species